AGUUUUGACGGAUAAACCCGUGAAAACUGACAUUGAUUUUCUUGAAAGGAAACCCUAAACUCCUUAAAGUGUUAUCAAAACAAAUCACUUUUGACUAUUCUUUGUUUUUUUCAUGUAUUAUCUAUUUUGACAUAUUUACAUUUAUGUUGAACUUUGUGUACUAAUGAUCAUGAUUUAAAACCUGCAUAUGGAAUGGGAAGACUUAUCGAUAUAAGCAAUAUGAGUUACAAUUUUACAGGGCUUAACAUUAACAUAUCCAAAUAUCAGACAGUUUAUCUUCACAACCAUUGAAGAGACGAGUACUGUUUUGUAAACAUUUAUUAUCAUGGACCUAUCUCAAAAGUGAACACGUAAAAAGUGAAUUUGGACAAAUAAAAUUCGUAAGGAUCUUGCCCUAUGGAAAAGUGGAUAUUUUAGUUUUAAAUAUUGAGCCCAAAAUUUUAUCUAAUUUUUAAUUGUAGAAUUUCAUUUUACUCUUAAAUUAAAAAAUUACAUGUAAUAUACAGAAUUAAUAUGAAUUUUAAUUAUUUUGUUUGUCAUACAUGUAUAAUGAGGGGAAAAGGCUUUGAUGGAAGCAAAUUCAAAUUAUUGUGGGUUUUUUUUUUCUAAUUAUUUGGCUGUCUUUUAUUGUAUGUUAGUCUUUCUUGACUGUGAUGCAAAAAUUAUCAAAUAGGUUUUUUAUAUGUUACACGCAGAUUCUACUAUUCUGAAUUUUGAAAAUGCCUCAGUUUGCUGUAUGUUUUUCAUGGUGUAAAUGAAAAAAAAUAAACGUAAAUGAAGAGUCACGACAAAUUUGAUACCAUACAAAAGAUAUGACACUUUUAACUACCAGUAAUUUUACACGUUUAUUGUAGAGCAUAGAAAUAAAGUUUGAUAGGUAUGUUUUAUUAAUUAUAACUAUACAAUUAUGUACAGGUAUAAAAAUAUAUUUGAAUGUACAUUCUUUUAAUAAAAAUUUUAUGCAUAAGAUGUAUACAUGUAUUUUCACAUUACGUGUUAUGUAUUAAUGCUUACUACAUUUUGCUUCACAACGGAUAAUUAUGAUAACUUUUAUCAUUUUGAUCAUUUAUACAUUAAAGGUUUUCUAUAAUCCUG
rnacentral:misc_RNA from 1 species